UCUUAUAUGGAGAGUUUGAUCCUGGCUCAGGACGAACGCUGGCGGCGUGCCUAAUACAUGCAAGUCGAGCGGACGGAUGGGAGCUUGCUCCCAGACCGUCAGCGGCGGACGGGUGAGUAACACGUGGGCAACCUGCCUGUAAGACUGGGAUAACUCCGGGAAACCGGGGCUAAUACCGGAUAACUCUUUUCCUCACAUGAGGGAAAGCUGAAAGAUGGCAUCUCGCUAUCACUUACAGAUGGGCCCGCGGCGCAUUAGCUAGUUGGUGAGGUAACGGCUCACCAAGGCAACGAUGCGUAGCCGACCUGAGAGGGUGAUCGGCCACACUGGGACUGAGACACGGCCCAGACUCCUACGGGAGGCAGCAGUAGGGAAUCUUCCGCAAUGG
rnacentral:rRNA from 1 species